UACGUAGGGUGCGAGCGUUAAUCGGAAUUACUGGGCGUAAAGCGUGCGCAGGCGGCUUCUCAAGUCAGAUGUGAAAUCCCCGGGCUUAACCUGGGAACUGCGUUUGAAACUGGGAGGCUAGAGUGUGGCAGAGGGGGGUGGAAUUCCACGUGUAGCAGUGAAAUGCGUAGAUAUGUGGAGGAACACCGAUGGCGAAGGCAGCCCCCUGGGCCUGCACUGACGCUCAUGCACGAAAGCGUGGGGAGCAAACAGG
rnacentral:rRNA from 1 species